rnacentral:rRNA from 1 species
AUUGAACGCUGGCGGCAGGCCUAACACAUGCAAGUCGAGCGAGCGGCGGACGGGUGAGUAAUGUAUGGGGAUCUGCCUGAUAGAGGGGGAUAACUACUGGAAACGGUAGCUAAUACCGCAUACCCUCGGAUGAGCCCAGAUGGGAUUAGCUAGUAGGUUGGGUAAAGGCUCACCUAGGCGACGAUCUCUAGCUGGUCUGAGAGGAUGACCAGCCACACGGGAACCGAGACACGGCCCAGACGCCUACGGGAGGCAGCAGGGGGGAAUAUUGCACAAUGGGCGAAAGCCGGAUGCAUCCAUGCCGCGUGUGUGAAGAAGGCCUUAGGGUUGUAAAGGACUUUCAGUGGGGAGGCGUUACCCGCAGAAGAAGCACCGGCUAACGCCGUGCCAGCAGCCGCGGUAAUUC